rnacentral:rRNA from 1 species
GGGUUGUGAGGUUAAGCGACUAAGCGUACACGGUGGAUGCCCUGGCAGUCAGAGGCGAUGAAGGACGUGCUAAUCUGCGAAAAGCGUCGGUAAGGUGAUAUGAACCGUUAUAACCGGCGAUGUCCGAAUGGGGAAACCCAGUGUGAUUCGUCACACUAUCGUUAACUGAAUACAUAGGUUAACGAGGCGAACCGGGGGAACUGAAACAUCUAAGUACCCCGAGGAAAAGAAAUCAACCGAGAUUCCCCCCAGUAGCGGCGAGCGAACGGGGAGCAGCCCAGAGUCUGAAUCAGCUUGUGUGUUAGUGGAACGGUCUGGAAAGUCCGACGGUACAGGGUGAUAGUCCCGUACACCAAAAUGCACAGGCUGUGAACUCGAAGAGUAGGGCGGGACACGUGGUAUCCUGUCUGAAUAUGGGGGACCAUCCUCCAAGGCUAAAUACUCCUGACUGACCGAUAGUGAACCAGUACCGUGAGGGAAAGGCGAAAAGAACCCCGGCGAGGGGAGUGAAAAAAGAACCUGAAACCGUGUACGUACAAGCAGUGGGAGCACCUUCGGGUGUGACUGCGUACCUUUUGUAUAAUGGGUCAGCGACUUAUAUUCUGUAGCAAGGUUAACCGUAUAGGGGAGCCGCAGGGAAACCGAGUCUUAACUGGGCGUUAAGUUGCAGGGUAUAGACCCGAAACCCGGUGAUCUAGCCAUGGGCAGGUUGAAGGUUGGGUAACACUAACUGGAGGACCGAACCGACUAAUGUUGAAAAAUUAGCGGAUGACUUGUGGCUGGGGGUGAAAGGCCAAUCAAACCGGGAGAUAGCUGGUUCUCCCCGAAAGCUAUUUAGGUAGCGCCUCGUGAACUCAUCUUCGGGGGUAGAGCACUGUUUCGGCUAGGGGGUCAUCCCGACUUACCAACCCGAUGCAAACUACGAAUACCGAAGAAUGUUAUCACGGGAGACACACGGCGGGUGCUAACGUCCGUCGUGAAGAGGGAAACAACCCAGACCGCCAGCUAAGGUCCCAAAGUCAUGGUUAAGUGGGAAACGAUGUGGGAAGGCACAGACAGCCAGGAUGUUGGCUUAGAAGCAGCCAUCAUUUAAAGAAAGCGUAAUAGCUCACUGGUCGAGUCGGCCUGCGCGGAAGAUGUAACGGGGCUAAACCAUGCACCGAAGCUGCGGCAGCGACACUAUGUGUUGUUGGGUAGGGGAGCGUUCUGUAAGCCUGCGAAGGUGACCUGUGAGGGUUGCUGGAGGUAUCAGAAGUGCGAAUGCUGACAUAAGUAACGAUAAAGCGGGUGAAAAGCCCGCUCGCCGGAAGACCAAGGGUUCCUGUCCAACGUUAAUCGGGGCAGGGUGAGUCGACCCCUAAGGCGAGGCCGAAAGGCGUAGUCGAUGGGAAACAGGUUAAUAUUCCUGUACUUGGUGUUACUGCGAAGGGGGGACGGAGAAGGCUAUGUUAGCCGGGCGACGGUUGUCCCGGUUUAAGCAUGUAGGCUGGUUAUCCAGGCAAAUCCGGAUAAUCAAGGCUGAGGUGUGAUGACGAGGCACUACGGUGCUGAAGUAACAAAUGCCCUGCUUCCAGGAAAAGCCUCUAAGCAUCAGGUAACAUCAAAUCGUACCCCAAACCGACACAGGUGGUCAGGUAGAGAAUACCAAGGCGCUUGAGAGAACUCGGGUGAAGGAACUAGGCAAAAUGGUGCCGUAACUUCGGGAGAAGGCACGCUGGUGUGUAGGUGAAGCCCCUGCGGGUGGAGCUGAGACCAGUCGAAGAUACCAGCUGGCUGCAACUGUUUAUUAAAAACACAGCACUGUGCAAACACGAAAGUGGACGUAUACGGUGUGACGCCUGCCCGGUGCCGGAAGGUUAAUUGAUGGGGUUAUCCGUAAGGAGAAGCUCUUGAUCGAAGCCCCGGUAAACGGCGGCCGUAACUAUAACGGUCCUAAGGUAGCGAAAUUCCUUGUCGGGUAAGUUCCGACCUGCACGAAUGGCGUAAUGAUGGCCAGGCUGUCUCCACCCGAGACUCAGUGAAAUUGAACUCGCUGUGAAGAUGCAGUGUACCCGCGGCAAGACGGAAAGACCCCGUGAACCUUUACUAUAGCUUGACACUGAACAUUGAGCCUUGAUGUGUAGGAUAGGUGGGAGGCUUUGAAGCGUGGACGCCAGUCUGCGUGGAGCCAACCUUGAAAUACCACCCUUUAAUGUUUGAUGUUCUAACGUUGGCCCCUGACCGGGGUUGCGGACAGUGUCUGGUGGGUAGUUUGACUGGGGCGGUCUCCUCCCAAAGCGUAACGGAGGAGCACGAAGGUUAGCUAAUCCUGGUCGGACAUCAGGAGGUUAGUGCAAUGGCAUAAGCUAGCUUGACUGCGAGCGUGACGGCGCGAGCAGGUGCGAAAGCAGGUCAUAGUGAUCCGGUGGUUCUGAAUGGAAGGGCCAUCGCUCAACGGAUAAAAGGUACUCCGGGGAUAACAGGCUGAUACCGCCCAAGAGUUCAUAUCGACGGCGGUGUUUGGCACCUCGAUGUCGGCUCAUCACAUCCUGGGGCUGAAGUAGGUCCCAAGGGUAUGGCUGUUCGCCAUUUAAAGUGGUACGCGAGCUGGGUUUAGAACGUCGUGAGACAGUUCGGUCCCUAUCUGCCGUGGGCGCUGGAGAAUUGAGGGGCUGCUCCUAGUACGAGAGGACCGGAGUGGACGCAUCACUGGUGUUCGGGUUGUCAUGCCAAUGGCACUGCCCGGUAGCUAAAUGCGGAAGAGAUAAGUGCUGAAAGCAUCUAAGCACGAAACUUGCCCCGAGAUGAGUUCUCCCUGAGACUUUAAGUCUCCUGAAGGAACGUUGAAGACGACGACGUUGAUAGGCCGGGUGUGUAAGCGCAGCGAUGCGUUGAGCUAACCGGUACUAAUGAACCGUGAGGCUUAACCUUACAACGCCGAAG